rnacentral:lncRNA from 10 species
GCUGCCCAGCAGCCAGCUGGUGACCUGACGCCCAAGAUCCCCGCAGAGGCUGGCCGAUAAGCGGUAGAGUCCUGGCUUGAUCUGUUCUCCUUCAUCCUAGCUUCAGUUUCCCUAUACGUAAAUUAGACUCAACAACGCAUGAUAGGGACACUUGUGGGGCGCCCGGUACACUACUCUUAGGAUAAGGUGAUCAUUGGUAACUACUCUCACUUCCGCUGUUCCCCGCCCCAAAUAAAUACACCUUUAAGUUGCAUCCCUCCAUCCAACCCCCCUUUCGCCCUCGAUUGGAAUUGCUCAUUCAGCUCCUUCAGGGCUGGCACAGGGGCAGGAAGGAUUGGAGGAACUUCGUCGCUUCGCUCCGAACUCCUGGCGUCUCUCCUUUCAAACUUUGCACGUGCUGUUCCCUCAACUUGGAGGCCCAGCCCCCAGUCCCACCUGCUCAAUCAGGUUCGGGCACCCAGUGUCACUGAGGUCCCUAGAAGCCCGCGCCCUCUCCAUCUUGCACUCCAGCUCCGGGCUGGAUUGUAUUCAUAUUUUAUUUUCCUGUUUCUGUUUUUAGUUUUUAUUAAAUAAAAGCAGAGGAAGAGGAAGGCCCUGGUCUCCCGGGCUAGGGGGGAGAGCCAUGGGUCCUCCCCUCCCUCUGUUCAAGGUGCACUGCGUGCUGGGCUUGAGGUGUAAGCUGGGGAGGGAGGGCAGCCGGGAAGGGUCAGUGGUCGGGACCUGCAACCCUUUCACCCCUUCUGGAAGACUCGCUGGGCAGGGAGGGAGCCUCCUGGACCUGGACUGGGGCUUAUCCCAAGGGAUGAGAGCCGAUAGGUCUACAGGCUCGGCCCAGGGCCCCUUCCACCCUAGGAAGAGGAAGGGGUGCCGGCGUCUAUCUGCUGGAGGGUGGUCAGGCAAGGCUGUGGGGCUGGGUGGCCAGCCCCUCACUCGUGGACGUCCCAGAUCUCCGACAGCAGAGGCGGCAGCUUCUUGUCCUGGAGCCGCAAGGCGAAGACCUGCUCCGAGUGCA